UACGUAGGGACCAAGCGUUGUCCGGAAUCAUUGGGCGUAAAGAGCUCGUAGGCGGUUUGUCGCGUCUGCUGUGAAAACUGGGGGGCUCAACCCCCCAGCCUGCAGUGGGUACGGGCAGACUAGAGUGCGGUAGGGGAGAUUGGAAUUCCUGGUGUAGCGGUGGAAUGCGCAGAUAUCAGGAGGAACACCGAUGGCGAAGGCAGAUCUCUGGGCCGUAACUGACGCUGAGGAGCGAAAGCAUGGGGGAGCGAACAGG
rnacentral:rRNA from 1 species